CGGAUGUAGCCAAGUGGAUUAAGGCAGUGG
rnacentral:tRNA from 1 species